rnacentral:lncRNA from 1 species
ACAGUCAGACGUUUUGUAAAUGUCGGAGCUGGACCAUGAGAGAGUCCUGGACUGAUGGCUCCAUCACACGAUCACUUAGCCACAGUCUGGAGUUGUUAUGCGCAGCACCUCGGCUUGCUUUCCCUAAGCACACCUCAAAUUGAAAGGGAGGUAAAGCCUCAUCAGUGAAACAGGCAAAUGCUGGGGUAGUGAGUCAUCUCCAGCUCUGAGAAGGGGAAAUGCCUAGAGCAAGGGCUACAGCCUUCACAGCCCCACCAGUUCCCAGUUCCAAUAUUGUUUCCUGGAAUGAACUUUUACAACCAGGAAGAAGCUAUUUAAAACCUUCAUUACGAAACUUUAGCAUCUCACCAUGAAGGAUAUUUAAAAGCAAAAUGACCUGAAGCAGGUGUGAGUAAUCUGUGGCUAGAACAGAGCUCUGCUCCAGGCACAAGCACUGCUGUAGGUAAAGUGCUGAAGAAGAGGAAGACUACAGGCUAUUUAUCCAUGGUGGCAGCACAGCUUGGGGUAAGGCAGAGCUAAGACGACCCUCUGUCUUUGUGAAGAUGCCAGAGGAAUCCACCAAAGCCCCCUGGUACAUAGCUGUAUAUCCUUCGUUGUGGGUCCUUCUAGUUGUGGCAUGUGGGACACCGCCUCAGCGUGGUUUGAUGAGCAGUGCCAUGUCCGCACCCAGGAUUCGAACCAAUGAAACACUGGGCCACCUGCAGCGGAGCGCGCGAACUUAACCACUCGGCCACGGGGCCAGCCCCAACAGUAGUAUUUUUGAUGGUAUUGCUACGUGAAGACUCUCUCCUUUGCUGGUUUUGAUGAAGCAUGCAGCCAUUUAUGAGAGGCCAAGAAACCAAGGGCAGCCUCCAGCCAAGAACCAGCUGAGGGUGGCCCCUAGCUGACAAUCAGCAAGACGUUGAGGCCACCUGCCCUACAACACCAAGGAACUGAAUUCUACUAACAACUGCACGAAUUUGAAAGUGGGUUGUUCCCCAGUUGAACCUUGAGAUGAGACCAUCAGGCCAACCAACAAUCUCAUUGAAGUCACAUGAAAUCUGGAAGCAGAAGAUCUGACUAAACUGUGCCCACACACCUAACCACAGAAACUGUGUAUUAAUAAAUGUGUGUUGUUUUAAACCAACAUCUUUGUGGUAAUAUUGCUACCCAACAAUAAAUAACUAAUAAACAGUCCAAGAAUC